rnacentral:rRNA from 1 species
AUCAAAAUAUAGUAAAGACUGAGGAGGACCCUCUUUAAUCUAUAUUGACUUAUUAUUUGAGUUCCAAAGGCGGUUUAUUGAAUUCUUGAAGGAAGGGUGAAAUUGUUGAUAUUGGAAGACAUUCGAUAGCGAAAGCAAUAACCGAUUUGGAUCUGACGCUAGGUACUAAAGUAUGGGGAUAAAUAGGAUUAGAGACCUAGUAGUCCAUACCUUAAACAAUGAGUGUUCAACAUCUUUUAUGUCUUUUCUCCUCAAUCUUUUAUAAGUUGGGGUUGAUUAGGCAAUCUGGGGUUURAAGUUAAGGCGAGAAACACUAA